rnacentral:rRNA from 1 species
CCCUUAGAUGUCCUGGGCCGAACGCGCGCUACACUGAUGCAUGCAACGAGUUUAUAACCUUGGCCUGAAAGGUCUGGGUAAUCUUUUGAACGUGCAUCGUGAUAGGGAUAGAUUAUUGCAAUUGUUAAUCUUGAACGAGGAAUUCCUAGUAAACGCGAGUCAUCAGCUCGCAUUGAUUACGUCCCUGCCCUUUGUACACACCGCCCGUCGCACCUACCGAUUGAAUGGUUCGGUGAAGAUCUCGGACUUCGAUAUUUAUUCUUUAUUGAGUUUAUAUUGUGGGAAGUUAUCUAAACCUCAUCAUUUAGAGGAAGGUGAAGUCGUAACA